rnacentral:rRNA from 1 species
AUUGAACGCUGGCGGCAUGCCUUACACAUGCAAGUCGAACGGCAGCACGGGAGCAAUCCUGGUGGCGAGUGGCGAACGGGUGAGUAAUAUAUCGGAACGUGCCCAGUCGUGGGGGAUAACGUAGCGAAAGCUACGCUAAUACCGCAUACGAUCUAUGGAUGAAAGCGGGGGAUCGCAAGACCUCGCGCGAUUGGAGCGGCCGAUAUCAGAUUAGGUAGUUGGUGGGGUAAAAGCCUACCAAGCCUUCGAUCUGUAGCUGGUCUGAGAGGACGACCAGCCACACUGGAACUGAGACACGGUCCAGACUCCUACGGGAGGCAGCAGUGGGGAAUUUUGGACAAUGGGCGAAAGCCUGAUCCAGCAAUGCCGCGUGUGCGAAGAAGGCCUCGGUUGUAAGCACUUUGGUCAGGAAGAAAUAGUAGCGUGCUAAUACCAUGCGCGAAUGACGGUACCUGCAGAAUAAG